rnacentral:rRNA from 1 species
GACGAACGCUGGCGGCGUGCCUAAUACAUGCAAGUCAAGGGGCUUAUGGUAGCAAUACUUUAAGUCACUGGCGUACGGGUGAGUAACGCGUAGACAACCUGCCCUUAACUCAGGCAUAACAUUUCUAACGAAAUGCUAACACCUGAUGAGGAGGAAGCUCCAAACUUAGGUUAAGGAUGGGUCUGCGUCUGAUUAGCUAGUUGGUGAGGUAACGGCUCACCAAGGCCACGAUCAGUAGCUGGUCUGAGAG